GACAUGACGUGUGGCUGUCGUAAAAACCCUAUUUGUAAACAACCAGCCCUUUAACUCGGGGCUGCGUCAUAAACACGGCGCGCUUGGAAGACCACGAUGUCAUCUUCCUUCUGUCAGGAGGAUCCAAGUGAAGCUACAGGAGUUUCAUUAACGUCAACAACUUGGACCAAACAGUUUGUUUUGCUUGAUGAAGAGCAGGAAGGGCAGCCUGGAGAGAAAGAGAAGCCGGGUUGAGCCCACUACCAUCAUCCACGUACCACGAGGAAGAUGAGGGAGAGAAAUGAUCCUACCAUUAAAGAGGUACUUUUAAGUUACAUACCAGAAAAAACAUUUGAUAUAAUUUGCCAAAUAUACAUUUUUAUUAAAUCCCCAAAGUACACUUGCUGAAAUACAAGUUAAUAUCACACUGAAAGAAUUUUGAUCAAUCAUGCUUCCCUGCUGUGAUUGUUUAACUAGGAAAACAACUUUUUCCACAGGAAGGCAAGUAAAUUUAAGGAAUACAUGUGCAAAGUUUUCCUCUGUUAUGUAUAAUGAUGACCCCCAUCAAACAUAAUGUUAGCAAUAUUUACACCUUUUAAUUUAUACUGUUUAUUUCUGUCUACAUGUGUGAAUUUGCCUUCAUUAGUUUCAGAAAAGAGCGAUGAUGUAUCGGUCAGUGGGCGGCAGCACGAGACUCCGCAAACUAGUCUGUAAGCAAAGCAGACGAAGGCAUCGAGGUUGCGGCCUGCCAUCAUUGUUAUUUUGCUUAAGGGACUGAAUAUGUUUCAUGUAGAAAUAUUAGCAUUUCCCUUAUAUCUACCAAAACUGCUUGUUUCACAGACUGCAGUUUUGUUUUGAUCCGAUGUGGUGUGCAAAUACAACCGUAUCUGCAAUGGGUUGUGGGGCAUUAACAUUUGUAACUCUAAUUUUGUUUUGACAGACUGUGAAAAGAACGUUGAGAACAUCACCACUCUACAGGAAGACACAGUCCAGUAAUGGGUGUCAGAAGUUCAGUAGUGAACGACAG